rnacentral:lncRNA from 1 species
AAGACCUAGAAAGUAAUCCCUGCUGCCCUUUCGCUGGCCCAGGAAGGGGUAAAUCACAGAUCAGUGUCAGAGGUGCGAUGAAAACCCAGGAGUUCUGAUUCCUGGGUCACCAUGCUCCCUUUGCCAAGGGUGGAGCCGACACCAACAGACUCUUAGCUCCUGUGCCCUGUGCAUCCUGGUGUUCGUGCACGUGCUGCACGGAUCAUUUGCUCUGGAGAAAGCCAGCAGGCAUGAGAGGCCCAUGUGGUGAGGAACUGAAGCCUCCUGCCCACAGCCACAUGUGUGAACUUAGAAAUUAGAAGAUCUUCUAGCCCAGUCAAUGGCUGUACAAUGGCUACAACCCUGGCUAAUACCUUGACUUCAACCUCACGAAACACUGAGCUAGAACCACCCAACUAAGCUGUUCCUAGAUUCCUCACCAUCAGGAACUGUGUGCUGUAAAAAUGCUUGUUAUUAUAAGCCACUAAAUUUUGAAGUGUUGUGUGACACAACAAUCUGUAAAUAAUUCAGAAUAGUAAAA